rnacentral:rRNA from 1 species
UGCGUAGGGGGCAAGCGUUGUCCGGAUUUAUUGGGCGUAAAGAGCGUGUAGGCGGCCAGGUAGGUCAGCUGUGAAAACUCGAGGCUUAACCUCGAGACGCCGGCUGAAACCCUCUGGCUAGAGUCCGGAAGAGGAGAGCGGAAUUCCUGGUGUAGCGGUGAAAUGCGCAGAUAUCAGGAAGAACACCCGUGGCGAAGGCGGCUCUCUGGGACGGUACUGACGCUGAGACGCGAAAGCGUGGGGAGCGAACAGG